rnacentral:rRNA from 1 species
UCGGCCAUACCAUGCUGAUAUACCGAUUCUCGUUAGAUCACCGAAGUCAGCAUCAUUGGGCGCGGUCAGUACUUUGGUGGGUGACAGCCUGGGAACACCGCGUGCCGCUG